rnacentral:rRNA from 1 species
CGCUUUCACUCCUACGGGAGGCAGCAGUGGGGAAUAUUGCACAAUGGGCGCAAGCCUGAUGCAGCCAUGCCGCGUGUAUGAAGAAGGCCUUCGGGUUGUAAAGUACUUUCAGCAGUGAGGAAGGCGGAGUCGUUAAUAGCGGCCUCGUUUGACGUUAGCUGCAGAAGAAGCACCGGCUAACUCCGUGCCAGCAGCCGCGGUAAUACGGAGGGUGCGAGCGUUAAUCGGAAUUACUGGGCGUAAAGCGCAUGCAGGUGGUUUGUUAAGUCAGAUGUGAAAGCCCGGGGCUCAACCUCGGAAUUGCAUUUGAAACUGGCAGACUAGAGUACUGUAGAGGGGGUAGAAUUUCAGGUGUAGCGGUGAAAUGCGUAGAGAUCUGAAGGAAUACCGGUGGCGAAGGCGGCCCCCUGGACAGAUACUGACACUCAGAUGCGAAAGCGUGGGGAGCAAACAGGAUUAGAUACCCUGGUAG